rnacentral:rRNA from 1 species
CCUACGGGGGGCAGCAGUGGGGAAUAUUGCACAAUGGGCGCAAGCCUGAUGCAGCGACGCCGCGUGAGCGAUGAAGGCCUUCGGGUCGUAAAGCUCUGUCCUAAGGGAAGAAUAAUGACGGUACCUUAGGAGGAAGCCCCGGCUAACUACGUGCCAGCAGCCGCGGUAAUACGUAGGGGGCGGGCGUUAUCCGGAAUCACUGGGCGUAAAGGGUGCGUAGGCGGCCCUGCAAGUCAGGAGUUAAAUCCCUCGGCUCAACCGAGGGCAGCUCUUGAAUCUGUAGGGCUUGAGUGCAGGAGAGGAGAGGGGAAUUCCUAGUGUAGCAGGGAAGUGCGUAGCUAUGAGGAGGAGCACCAGUGGGGAAGGCGGCUCUAUGGACUGCAACUGACGCUGGGGAACGAAAGCGUGGGGAGCGAACAGGAUUAGAUACCCUAGUAGUC